rnacentral:tRNA from 1 species
GGAGAGGUGUCCGAGUGGUCGAAGGAGCACGACUGGAAAUCGUGUAGGGAUAAUAAAAUGUCCCUCGUGGGUUCGAAUCCCACCCUCUCCG